rnacentral:rRNA from 1 species
CAGCAUGAACUUAGCUUGCUAAGUUUGAUGGCGACCGGCGCACGGGUGAGUAACACGUAUCCAACCUGCCGAUGACUCGGGGAUAGCCUUUCGAAAGAAAGAUUAAUACCUGAUAGUAUGGUGAGAUUGCAUGAUAGCACCAUUAAAGAUUUAUUGGUAAACGAUGGGGAUGCGUUCCAUUAGGUAGUAGGCGGGGUAACGGCCCACCUAGUCUUCGAUGGAUAGGGGUUCUGAGAGGAAGGUCCCCACAUUGGAACUGAGACACGGUCCAAACUCC